rnacentral:rRNA from 1 species
AUGGUGAAGUUCACCGCACGCCGGAGUUUGCCCGAGCUGGUGGCGCCGGCACGGCCAACACCACGCGAGACCAAAGUCCUCUCCGACGUCGACGACUGUUAUGACCUACGAGUCUACUCUUUUGGGGUCGAGUUCUUCCGCUGCCGACCAGGCGGCCAUCCAACGACGACGCCGGCAAAGGCCGUCAAGGUAGCGCUCGUGGAGGCUCUGGUGUACUACUACCCCAUGGCCGGUCGGUUGAGAGAGAUUCUCCCUACUAACAAGCUGGUGGUGGACUGCACCGGAGAGGGAGUGGUGUUCGUGGAAGCAUUGGCUGACGUGGGGCUGGAAGAGUUUGGAAAUCCAUCACCGCGGCCCCCAUACCCAUGCAUCGAGGAACUAUUAUGUGACGCCGGCGAUAUCAAAGUCGUGGUUGACAAGCCCUUGUUCUUUGUCCAAGUACGAUCGACCUCCUUAUACUCCUUUUCUCCGCACUCGUUUUGUUUGUGGAGACAUGUCCUUUCAGCUUCAUUUUAUUCAAAGUUACCAUAUGGUUCUUUGUCCAAGCAUGUGUGCAAGGAGGAGGGUCGUGCAAAAAGCUGCCACAUAACAGUAGUCAACCUACCGCCCGUGCAAGUCAAAGUUGAUGUCGCGCGGAUAGGACUGCGGGUGACACACUUGGAAAACUUUUUAGGAUCCAGAUAUGCAUUUCAUAGUAUUAGGAUUAGGACCAACUCGGCACCCCUCAAAUAG